rnacentral:lncRNA from 1 species
AUAGAAUGGGGAGCUAAUGGGGAUGGAAGUCAAACAAAAAUUAACCCUACUACCGGAGGUCUCCUAAAAUAUGAUAAAAUGAGGGAUCGAGAGGAAUUAGUGAAAAUGAUUGCUUUGGGUUGUCUACCUUUUUCUUUUGCUUCUUCCUCUUAUCUUAUUAUGUAUAUUCAAAGGAUAUACAAUCCUUUGUUUAAAGGUANN